rnacentral:rRNA from 1 species
AACGAACGCUGGCGGCAUGCCUAACACAUGCAAGUCGAACGAUGCCUUCGGGCAUAGUGGCGCACGGGUGCGUAACGCGUGGGGAUCUGCCUUUCGGUUCGGAAUAACUCAGGGAAACUUGUGCUAAUACCGGAUAACGUCGCAAGACCAAAGAUUUAUCACCGAAAGAUGAGCCCGCGUAGGAUUAGCUAGUUGGUGAGGUAAAGGCUCACCAAGGCGACGAUCCUUAGCUGGUCUGAGAGGAUGAUCAGCCACACUGGGACUGAGACACGGCCCAGACUCCUACGGGAGGCAGCAGUGGGGAAUAUUGGACAAUGGGCGAAAGCCUGAUCCAGCAAUGCCGCGUGAAUGAUGAAGGCCUUAGGGUUGUAAAGCUCUUUUACCCGGGAAGAUAAUGACGGUACCGGGAGAAUAAGCCCCGGCUAACUCCGUG